AGUGAACGCUGGCGGUAGGCCUAACACAUGCAAGUCGAACGGCAGCACAGUAAGAGCUUGCUCUUAUAGGUGGCGAGUGGCGGACGGGUGAGGAAUACAUCGGAAUCUACUUUUUCUUGGGGGAUAACGUAGGGAAACUUACGCUACUACCGCAUACGACCUACGGGUGAAUGCAGGGGAUCUUCGGACCUUGCGCGAUUGAAUGAGCCGAUGUCGGAUUAGCUAGUUGGCGGGGUAAAGGCCCACCAAGGCGACGAUCCGUAGCUGGUCUGAGAGGAUGAUCAGCCACACUAGAACUGAGACACGGUCCAGACUCCUACGGGAGGCAGCAGUGGGGAAUAUUGGACAAUGGACGCAAGCCUGAUCCAGCCAUACCGCGUGGGUGAAGAAGGCCUUCGGGUUGUAAAACCCUUUUGUUGGGAAAGAAAAGCAGCAGGUUAAUACCCCGCUGUUCUGACGGUACCCAAAGAAUAAGCACCGGCUAACUUCGUG
rnacentral:rRNA from 1 species